CAGCCGCCGCCGGAAUACGAAGGGUGCAAGCGUUACUCGGAAUUACUGGGCGUAAAGCGUGCGUAGGUGGUGGUUUAAGUCCGUUGUGAAAGCCCUGGGCUCAACCUGGGAAUUGCAGUGGAUACUGGGUCACUAGAGUGUGGUAGAGGAUAGUGGAAUUUCCGGUGUAGCAGUGAAAUGCGUAGAGAUCGGAAGGAACAUCUGUGGCGAAGGCGACUAUCUGGGCCAACACUGACACUGAGGCACGAAAGCGUGGGGAGCAAACAGGAUUAGAUACCCCCGUAGUCCCUGUCUCUUAUAA
rnacentral:rRNA from 1 species